GGCGAACAGUUCACCACAGUUCACCUGGCCAGAGCAUAAGGAGAAGACAGUUCACUGGGCCAGCAUGUGAGGGGGACAGUUCACUCA